GACAUUCCAUUUCUUCAGUCAAUCAUGUCGUUGUCCGAUAAUGUUCAGGGGUUUUGUAAGGUAAGUCAUUCACUCACUCACUCAUCGGUUCCGUUUGUGCUGUAAAAAUGCAAAGAUUUAUUUGGAAUCAAGUGAUGAUUGACAAAGACUGAUAAUUGAUUAUUGAGACACGUUUCUUCUUUGAAUUCGGAUUCCAGGUGCGAUUUGGUGGUGAUUUUAAUGCUUCUCUGAACACCAACCGUCGCCAUCCUUUAUCUGGCCACAAUUUUGCUGCAAUUUUACCUGGCGACUCGGUUGCAGGACUCGUGGUGGCCAAUGGACUUGCAAAUUUCCUCAACCUCUAUAAUACUGUGUUGAUUGUUCGGCUUGUUCUUACAUGGUUCCCCGGUGCUCCUGCGGCAAUUGUUAACCCUCUCAGGUGCGUUGAUCUAAAGAGUUAUUUCUUUAUGUGUAUGUAUUUAUGUUUCAUGGUUUCACAGCACAAUAUGCGAUCCAUACCUGAAUAUUUUCCGGGGAGUAAUCCCACCUCUUGGAGGAACCUUGGAUCUCUCCCCGAUUCUGGCAUUUUUGGUUUUAAACGCCUUCACAAGUACUGCCGCCGCACUUCCAGCAGAACUACCAGCUGCUUCGGGAACAUCUCGACAUCAAGAGUUUCCUUUUAAUCUUACUAGCUUUCAACAGAAAUGGAUGCGAAGGGUAUCCGGCCGGCAACAACAAGUGUUGAAAUAAAAUUGGUUUUUUUAUAAUUUUUUUUUGAAUCGGAGAGUAAAUUCAGAAACAAAGAAAGAGAUGCAAUUAUGCAAUUAUCAAAUUCAAAAGCUAAUAAAAAUUCUGAUACCAUUUGUUCACCUCUCCAGUCUGGAUACCAUCUUUUUAUUCCACCGCGUCUGAUUUUUUUUAAAU
rnacentral:lncRNA from 1 species